rnacentral:rRNA from 1 species
CCGUAUACGUCGUUAGGGAGAAAGUAUUUAUCGGAGAUGGAUGACGCCCGCGUUGGAUUAGCUAGUUGGUGAAGGUAAAGGCUCACCAAGGCGACGAUCCAUAGCUGGUCUGAGAGGAUGAUCAGCCACACGUGGGACUGAGACACCGGCCCAGACUCCGUACGGGAGGCAGCAGGUGGGGAAUAUUGGACAAGUGGGGGCAACCCUGAUCCAGCCAUGCCGCGUGAGUGAUGAAGGCCCUAGGGUUGUAAAGCUCUUUCACCGGUGAAGAUAAUGACGGUAACCGGAGAAGAAGCCCCGGCUAACUUCGUG